rnacentral:lncRNA from 12 species
CUAGGUGACAGUAGAGGAGACUAAUGGAUAAGAAGAAUAUUUACAAGCAGAAUACCUAUUUCUAAGCAAACUUGACAUCCACAUCCGUCUCCUAGCCUGGUGUGGCUGAACCCAUCCUCACCAUGGUAUGUUCCCUACUUUUUACUGUCUCUUCCUGCCCUACAGCACUGUGACGGGGCUGGGGUGGUUUCACCAAAGGGCAACCAGCGUGGAAGGAAGAGAGAGAGGGACUGAGCCCUGAACAGGAAGCAUGGACCCCUGGGGAUGCUUUAGCCCAGCCCUUCUAUGCUCUCAGGUUUGCAGGUACCAGCAAGAAGCUCCAAAGAGGAGCUAGGGAAGGACUAUGGAGUAGCCUGGGCCACUGACUACACUUUAGAAGAUGGAGAGUACAAAUGUGAAGGAAGAACAUAUGACAAGCAGGAGA